UUGUCGUCAGCUCGUGUCGUGAGAUGUUGGGUUAAGUCCCGCAACGAGCGCAACCCUUGUUCUUAGUUGCCAGCAUUUAGUUGGGCACUCUAAGGAGACUGCCGGUGACAAACCGGAGGAAGGUGGGGAUGACGUCAAAUCAUCAUGCCCCUUAUGACCUGGGCUACACACGUGCUACAAUGGAUGGUACAAAGGGCUGCAAGACCGCGAGGUUUAGCCAAUCCCAUAAAACCAUUCUCAGUUCGGAUUGUAGGCUGCAACUCGCCUACAUGAAGCCGGAAUCGCUAGUAAUCGCGGAUCAGCAUGCCGCGGUGAAUACGUUCCCGGGCCUUGUACACACCGCCCGUCACACCACGAGAGUUUGUAACACCCGAAGUCGGUGGGGUAACCGUAAGGAGCCAGCCGCCUAAGGUGGGACAGAUGAUUGGGGUGAAGUCGUAACAAGGUAGCCGUAUCGGAAGGUGCGGCUGGAUCACCUCCUUUCUAAGGA
rnacentral:rRNA from 1 species